rnacentral:rRNA from 1 species
CUGGCGGCAGGCCUAACACAUGCAAGUCGAGCGGAUGAAAGGAGCUUGCUCCUGGAUUCAGCGGCGGACGGGUGAGUAAUGCCUAGGAAUCUGCCUGGUAGUGGGGGACAACGUUUCGAAAGGAACGCUAAUACCGCAUACGUCCUACGGGAGAAAGCAGGGGACCUUCGGGCCUUGCGCUAUCAGAUGAGCCUAGGUCGGAUUAGCUAGUUGGUGAGGUAAUGGCUCACCAAGGCGACGAUCCGUAACUGGUCUGAGAGGAUGAUCAGUCACACUGGAACUGAGACACGGUCCAGACUCCUACGGGAGGCAGCAGUGGGGAAUAUUGGACAAUGGGCGAAGGCCUGAUCCAGCCAUGCCGCGUGCCGUGAAGAAGGUCUUCGGAUUGUAAAGCACUUUAAGUUGGGAGGAAGGGUUGUAGAUUAAUACUCUGCAAUUUUGACGUUACCGACAGAAUAAGCACCGGCUAACUCUGUGCCAGCCGCGGC